rnacentral:rRNA from 1 species
AUUGAACGCUGGCGGCAGGCUUAACACAUGCAAGUCGAGCGGAGUGAUGGUGCUUGCACUAUCACUUAGCGGCGGACGGGUGAGUAAUGCUUAGGAAUCUGCCUAUUAGUGGGGGACAACAUCUCGAAAGGGAUGCUAAUACCGCAUACGUCCUACGGGAGAAGGCAGGGGAUCACUUGUGACCUUGCGCUAAUAGAUGAGCCUAAGUCGGAUUAGCUAGUUGGUGGGGUAAAGGCCUACCAAGGCGACGAUCUGUAGCGGGUCUGAGAGGAUGAUCCGCCACACUGGGACUGAGACGCGGCCCAGACUCCUACGGGAGGCAGCAGUGGGGAAUAUGGGACAAUGGGGGGAACCCUGAUCCAGCCAUGCCGCGUGUGUGAAGAAGGCCUUAUGGUUGUAAAGCACUUUAAGCGAGGAGGAGGCUCUUUUGGUUAAUACCCAAGAUGAGUGGACGUUACUCGCAGAAUAAGCACCGGCUAACUCUGUGCCAGCCGCCGCAGUAA